UUCCACAGUGAAUACCAAGUUUGCUUUAUAGUUCCCAUGGCUUUGACUGUAUGCUAGAGCAAUGUCUGUGGUUUCCCUCUGCAUUGAAAGGAGCAUUUAUCCUUUUAAAUGUAUUCAGAAAGCCAGCACAUUU
ensembl:snoRNA